AUUUAAAUAGCUUAAUUGAGAGUAUAAUAUUGAAGAUAUUAGUGUAAAGUUUAACUUUUUUAAAUA
rnacentral:tRNA from 1 species